rnacentral:rRNA from 1 species
CCUACGGGAGACAGCAGUGAGGAAUAUUGGUCAAUGGCCGCAAGUCUGAACCAGCCAAGCCGCGUGCAGGAAGACGGUGCCAAGCAUUGUAAACUUCUUUUGUCCAGGGACAAACGCAGGCACGCGUGCCUGUCUGAGAGUACCUUACGAACAAGCAUCGGCUAACUCCGUGCCAGCAGCCGCGGUAAUACGGAGGAUUCAAGCGUUAUCCGGAUUUAUUGGGUUUAAAGGGUGCGUAGGCGGUCGGUUAAGUUAGCGGUAAAAGCCCGGGGCUCAACCCCGGAGAGCCGUUGAAACUGGCCGUCUUGAGAGGUCGUGAGGUAGGCGGAAUGCGCGGUGUAGCGGUGAAAUGCUUAGAUAU